rnacentral:rRNA from 1 species
UACAGAGGGUGCAAGCGUUGUUCGGAAUCAUUGGGCGUAAAGGGCGUGUAGGCGGUCUGUUAAGUCAUGUGUGAAAUCCCUCGGCUCAACCUGGGAACUGCAUUUGAGACUGUAUGGCUAGAGUGUGUCAGAGGGGGGUAGAAUUCCACGUAUAGCAGUGAAAUGCGUAGAUAUGUGGAGGAAUACCGAUGGCGAAGGCAGCCCCCUGGGAUAACACU